rnacentral:rRNA from 1 species
GACGAACGCUGGCGGCGUGCUUAACACAUGCAAGUCGAACGGAAAGGCCCUGCUUUUGUGGGGUGCUCGAGUGGCGCAGGGGUGAGUAACACGUGAGUAACCUGCCCUUGACUUUGGGAUAACUUCAGGAAACUGGGGCUAAUACAGGCUAGGAGCUCCUGCUGCAUGGUGGGGGUUGGACAGUUUCGGCGGUUGGGGAUGGUUUCGCGGCUUAUCAGCUGGUUGGGGGGGUAGUGGCUUACCAAGGCUUUGACGGGUAGCCGGCCUGAGUGGGUAACCGGCCACAUUGGGCCUGAGGUAGGGAGCAGUCGCCUACGUGAGGCAGUAGUCGAGAAUAUUGUCCAACGGGGGGAAGCCUGUGGCAGAGAUGUCCGGUGCGGGAUGACGGCCUUCGGGGUGUAAACCGCUUUCGCCUGUGACGAAGCGGGAGUGACGGUACCGGGUAAAGAAGCACCGGCUAACUACGUG